rnacentral:rRNA from 1 species
GGAAGGAUCAUUGGUCGGACCCUACGAACGACCCGCGAACAUGUUAAAAUCACCCGCGGGGAGGGGGCAACCUCCCCCCGCGUCGCAGCGGGAGCCGGACUAACGUCCUUCCUCCUCGCUGCGAGUAACGAACCCCCGGCGCGGAACGCGCCAAGGAAUACUUACGAGAGAGCUCGCCCCUCGGGGACCCGAACACGGAUAACCCCGAGAGGCGACGACUUCUUUCGCUAUAAUGUCUAAAACGACUCUCGGCAACGGAUAUCUCGGCUCUCGCAUCGAUGAAGAACGUAGCGAAAUGCGAUACUUGGUGUGAAUUGCAGAAUCCCGUGAACCAUCGAGUCUUUGAACGCAAGUUGCGCCCCAAGCCGCUAGGCCGAGGGCACGUCUGCCUGGGUGUCACGCAUCGUUGCCCCACACCUCCCUCGUUGUCUUCAGCGGGGCGUGGCGGUGAGGGCGGAUAUUGGCCUCCCGUGCGCUCUUGAGCGCGGUUGGCCCAAAUUUCAGUCUCCGGCGAGUGGCGCCGCGGCGAUCGGUGGUGUUGAAAGACCUCUCGAGAACACGUCGCGCGUCGCCCGUCGGGACUUGCGGACCCUAGCGCUUAGCGCUCG